GUAGUUGUGGCUCAGUAGUAGAGCGCUUGUCCAGCAUGCAUGAGGCACUGGGUUCAAUCCUCAGCAGCACA
rnacentral:tRNA from 1 species